GUGGCGGACGGGUGAGGAACGCGUAAGAACCUACCCCUGGGAGGAGAACAACUGCUGGAAACGGCAGCUAAUACUCCAUAUGCUGAGGAGCAAAAGGUCGAAAGGCCGCCGAGGGAUGGGCUUGCGUCUGAUUAGCUAGUUGGUGAGGUAAAUGCUUACCAAGGCGACGAUCAGUAGCUGGUCUGAGAGGAUGAUCAGCCACACUGGGACUGAGACACGGCCCAGACUCCUACGGGAGGCAGCAGUG
rnacentral:rRNA from 1 species